rnacentral:sRNA from 17 species
GAUCUUGCGUCUACGGCCUGCGCGCCCUUGCGUAAGGCUGAUGGCUGGUGGCUGGAGCCACCGGCCU